rnacentral:rRNA from 1 species
AUUGAACGCUGGCGGCAUGCCUUACACAUGCAAGUCGAACGGUAACAGGUCUUCGGAUGCUGACAAGUGGCGAACGGGUGAGUAAUGCAUCGGAACGUGCCCAGCAGUGGGGGAUAGCCCGGCGAAAGCCGGAUUAAUACCGCAUACGACCUAAGGGUGAAAGGGGGGGAUCGCAAGACCUCUCGCUAUUGGAGCGGCCGAUGUCAGAUUAGCUAGUUGGUGGGGUAAAGGCCUACCAAGGCAACGAUCUGUAGUUGGUCUGAGAGGACGACCAGCCACACUGGGACUGAGACACGGCCCAGACUCCUACGGGAGGCAGCAGUGGGGAAUUUUGGACAAUGGGCGCAAGCCUGAUCCAGCAAUGCCGCGUGCAGGAAGAAGGCCUUCGGGUUGUAAACUGCUUUUGUCAGGGAAGAAAUCUUCUGGGUUAAUACCUCGGGAGGAUGACGGUACCUGAGGAAUAAGCACCGGCUAACUACGUGCCAGCCGCCGCCGUAAAAC